UUGCCCCAGACAUCCAAACUUAGCCUGCAAAAAAAACUCCUCUCUUUCAUAACCACAACCCUUCAAAAUUGCCGGGAAGCCAACGGCUCCCUAAAACCCUAAACCUCCCACACCCAGUCUUCCUCACUAAAGCUUCCAUCUUUGAUGUACUCUCUCUUUCCUCAUACCUCUCCACACUCAGAUUUUCCACUUCCUUGGAUUCAAACACUCCCUGAGCCCCCUUUUGCUUAAACCCUAAUCCCCAAUUUCCAUGCUCAAUCACAUCCAUAAAUGGAAGAAGCCCAUCCAUUUUCUUCAAAAAUUUCGAACCCUCUCUUCCCUCAUCUUCACUAAAUCCUCAGCCUUUGCCGCAAAGCCCACCGCCGGCCCAAGCAGCACGAUCAAUGUCUCCGAACUCAUCACCGGCCUGAGAAUCUUGGGUUUGGGUCGAAUUAACGGUGACCAUUACUAUAGGAAUAUUAUUUCGACUUUGAAUCAGACCCAGGUGGAUAUUAUUAUCGAAAGGUUGAGCCUUGAGGACCCUGAAUCGGGUUUCGGUUUCUUCAAUUUGUUGAGGAAUGAGUACGGUUUUCGGCCUUCAAGGGUUUCGAGUUUCGCAGUUUCUCAUGUUUUAGCGGCGAAAAGGUGGUUUGAGGAGUUGCGUUUGGUUAUGAAGAAAAUGGUGGAGGAGGAAGGUUCUGGUACUGCAACAUCACUGUGUGAGCUGCUAUUGAGUAGAUUUAGGGACUGGGACUCGAGUGGUGUAGUGUGGGAUGUUUUGGCGUUUUCUUAUUCGAGAAGUGACAUGGUUUAUGAUGCCCUGACUGUUCUUGCUAAGAUGAAAGAUCUGGAUUUGAAAGUUUCCACGGCAACGUAUAAUUGCUUGUUGCAUAAUUUAAGGCACACGGAUAUCAUGUGGAAUGUGUAUGAUGAAAUUAAGGACAGUGGAACUCCUCAGAGUGAGUACACUACUUCUAUACUUAUAGAUGGACUGUGUGAGCAAGCCAGCAUACGAGAUGCAGUUUCGUUUCUCUUGGAUGCUCAAAGGAAGGAGAAUGGGCCUUCAGUUGUUCCAUUUAAUACCAUUAUGUCGAGGUUCUGUAAAUUGGGUUUUGUGGAUAUUGCCAAGUCGUUUUUUUGUAUGAUAUUCAAGUAUGGACUACUUCCUGAUUCGUACAGUUAUAAUAUUCUUAUUCAUGGGCUGUGUGUAGCAGGUUCUUUGGAAGAAGCUUUGGAGUUUACAAAAGACAUGGAGAGGCAUGGGCUACACCCUGACACAGUGACCUAUAAUAUUCUUUGUAAAGGUUUUCGUCUUCUUGGUUUAAUGACUGGAGCUCAGCAGGUCAUUCAGAAAAUGUUGGUUAAAGGGUUAAAUCCUGAUCAUGUUACAUAUACAAUUCUAAUAUGUGGGCACUGCCAUUCUGGGAAUAUUGAGGAAGCCCUUAAGCUGCGGGAAGAGAUGCUUUCAAGGGGUUUUCAAUUGAGUGUCAUUUUGUAUAGUGUACUGCUUAGCAGUUUGUGUAAAAGUGGACGAAUAGAAGAAGCAUUGAGAUUGCAUUAUGAGAUGGAAGCUGUUGGCUUGGAACCAGAUCUUAUAACAUGUUCUAUUCUCAUUCAUGGCCUAUGCAAGCAAGGAAGUGUUCAAAGGGCUAUUGAAAUAUAUAGAGAAAUGUACUUGAAGAGAAUACUUCCCCAUUACUCUGCACACCGUGCUAUUCUUUUAGGUCUGCGCGAGAAAGGAGAUAUAUCUGAGGCAAGGAAGUAUUUUGAUACUCUAGCAACAAUCACAGAGGAUAUUGUUUUGUAUAAUAUUAUGAUGGAUGGAUAUGUAAAACUUGGUAAUAUUGCAGCAGCCUUACAGUUAUAUGAACAAGCAGUUGAAAAAGGAAUAACUCCUAGUGUUGUCACUUUCAAUACGCUUAUGUAUGGUUUCUGCAACAGUGGAAAACUAGUUGAGGCCCAACAGAUGUUGAAUACCAUUGAACUGCAUGGAAUGCUACCCAGUCCAGUUACCUAUACGACUCUUAUGAAUGGUUACUGUGGACAGGGAAACAUUCAUGGGAUGCUUGAAUUGCUCCGGGAGAUGAAAGCAAAAGCUGUAGAUCCAACUCAUGUAACUUAUACUGUAAUUAUCAAGGGACUCUGCAGACAGAGGAAGCUGCAAGAGGCUGUCCACGUAGUUGAGAAAAUGUAUGCUAAGGACCUAGCCCCAGAUCAGAUCACAUAUAAUACCAUCAUUCAAUGUUUCUGCAGAGCUCGAGACUUGAAGAAAGCUUUUCAGUUGCACAAUGAGAUGUUAAUGCAUAAUCUCGAGCCUACUCCUGUUACAUAUAAUGUUCUCAUCAAUGGUCUUUGUGUAUAUGGUGACCUGAAUGAUGCUGACAGGCUAUUGGUUUUUCUUGACGACCACAACAUCAAUCUAAGAAAAGUUGCUUAUACCACAUUAAUCAAAGCACAUUGUGCAAAGGGUUAUGCCCUUAGAGCAGUGGAGCUCUUCGAUCAGAUGGUGGAGAAAGGAUUUGAAAUCUCCAUAAGAGAUUAUAGUGCUGUAAUUAAUAGAUUAUGCAAAAGGUCUCUAAUAACUGAAGCAAAAUAUUUUUUCUGUAUGAUGCUAUCUGAUGGGAUAUCUCCUGAUCAUGAGCUUUGUAAGGUGAUGCUCAAUGCUUUCUGUCAAGAUGGUGAUUCAAGUUCAGUAUAUGAACUCCUUGCUGAGAUGAUCAAAUCUGGCAUUCUUCCUGAUUAAUCCAUGGAAAGGUGAUAUUGCUUAGCCUCUGGCUAUUGGAAAAAGUUGUUCACUGGCUCAUAAAAAAGGUUCAAGCCACGAGCGCUCAGGCCCACCCUAUAUCCUUCCAGACAAGGUUCUUCAAGAGAUGCAAAGAAGUGAAAUCUCAGCUGGGAUAAACUGCAGCUUUUGUUUCUGGCAUUUUCCUAAGAUGUGACUUUAAACUUUAAAGACAACUCCAGGAGCUAGCAAAGCUUAGAUAAAAAGCGUUCCUGACAGAUGGAGUUGAAACUGGUUCAAAAGCAUCUUUCCAAAUCGUUUUAUUCCCUCUGAAAAUGAGUUCUCAUCCUACUUGCUGAUUAUAACUCAGGAGUCAGGACUCAGGAGCAAGGGAUAAAUUGCUAGUCAACAGUCAUGCAUGUCUCUGUCUCAUGCCUUCCGGAAAGGCACCUACUUGAGUUCCGCUUGAAUGAUUUUCUCCAUGACCAUAUGGUUGGGGUUGAUUUUCAAUAUUAUAGAAAGAAGAUGUGAGGUCGGCUUCUUCUCAAAACAAUCAAACAUAUAUGGCUUGCUUGCCCCUUAAAAUCAUGGCCAAACCUGGAAAGAAUGGUGAAUUGAGUCACCAUGUCUCCUCACUUCAUCAUGCUCUCCUCAUCAGCAAGAACAUAGCAGUUACUUCAUGCAAAUGUAGUCUGAAUUUUAUAUUGUUCACCGAAAUGUAAUAACAAUUUGCUGGACUUUGUUAGAUGUCUUUCGCCACAAACUUAAUAGGUGCUUAUUGUGGUUGUAGUUGUACAGGAUAGUUCGUAAAAUGAAAGAAACCAUUG